rnacentral:rRNA from 1 species
UGGAUUAGUGGCGAACGGGUGAGUAACACGUGGGCAAUCUGCCCUGCACUCUGGGACAAGCCCUGGAAACGGGGUCUAAUACCGGAUAAUACCUGCCGAGGCAUCUUGGCGGGUUGAAAGCUCCGGCGGUGCAGGAUGAGCCCGCGGCCUAUCAGCUUGUUGGUGGGGUGAUGGCCUACCAAGGCGACGACGGGUAGCCGGCCUGAGAGGGCGACCGGCCACACUGGGACUGAGACACGGCCCAGACUCCUACGGGAGGCAGCAGUGGGGAAUAUUGCACUAAUGGGCGAAAGCCUGAUGCAGCGACGCCGCGUGAGGGAUGACGGCCUUCGGGUUGUAAACCUCUUUCAGCAGGGAAGAAGCGCAAGU